CGCUGCCUCCUCACCAUCAUAAAAAAAAAAAAAAACAUCCAAUAGACCGACACCUUUGUCUUUCUGUGGUAUCUAACCACCGCCAUUAGAUUUUUACUCAAUUGUACAGCUCCUAUGAACCCGACAACCUAUUUUAUCCUCUUCGAUUAAUGCUUUCAACAUUCUAAGUUUCAAGCUUUUCUUAUGCUUUCUCCGACUUGAAAUCCAAGUUUUCCUGUUUUGACUGCAGAGAAAGUGAGGAACUUAAAAUUUCUUUGCAGCCAAACAGGAAAUUGGCCAUCUGGGUUUUUUUUAGGGUCCAUUUUCUGGUGGAUAGAGCUGAAGAAAUGGCCUCUGCUCAUGCAUUUAGUUCACUAUCUAAAGUUUCUCCUGUAUUUUCUCUUAAAAAACGGUACUGGAAUUCAUGUAUGAAACCUUGCUGUAUGGUUUCUACCAUAAUUUGCAACUACCAAACGCCUAAAAGGCCCAAUUUUGUUGUUGCAAAGACUACUAAAGUUAGAGAAUUUAGGCUAUUUAAGUCAGUGGAAUUGGACCAGUACGUGACGAGUGAUGAUGAAGAAGAAAUGGGUGAAGGGUUUUUUGAGGCAAUUGAGGAACUUGAGAGAAUGACAAGAGAACCUUCUGAUAUUCUUGAGGAAAUGAAUGAUAGGUUGUCCGCGAGAGAGUUGCAAUUAGUGCUUGUUUAUUUCUCUCAAGAGGGGAGAGAUUCCUGGUGUGCGCUUGAGGUGUUUGAGUGGUUGAGAAAGGAGAAUAGGGUCGACAAGGAAACAAUGGAGCUUAUGGUUUCGAUAAUGUGUAGUUGGGUUAAGAAGUUAAUUGAAGGGGAACAAGAUGUUGGGGAUGUGGUUGACUUACUUGUGGAUAUGGAUUGUGUGGGGUUGAAGCCGAGUUUUAGUAUGAUUGAGAAGGUGAUAUCUUUGUAUUGGGAUAUGGGGAAGAAGGAGGGAGCGGUUUCAUUUGUGAAGGAGGUUUUGAGACGAGGGAUUGCAUAUUCGGGCGAUGAUGGAGAAGGACAGAAAGGAGGCCCAACUGGGUAUCUUACAUGGAAGAUGAUGGUUGAUGGAAACUACAGGAAUGCAGUCAAAUUGGUGAUUCAUCUUAGAGAAUCUGGAUUAAAGCCUGAGAUCUACGCCUACCUCAUUGCAAUGACAGCUGUUGUCAAAGAGCUAAAUGAAUUUUCUAAAGCUCUACGCAAGUUGAAAGGUUAUUCGAGGUCUGGUAUGGUAACUGAACUUGAUGCUGAGAAUGUAGAGCUUGUUGAGAAGUAUCAGUCAGAUCUUCUAGCUGAUGGAGUAUGCUUGUCCAGUUGGGUCAUUCAGGAGGGAAGUCCUGCACUUUAUGGUGUGGUUCAUGAGCGACUUCUUGCCAUGUAUAUUUGUGCUGGCCGUGGGCUUGAUGCUGAAAGACAGUUAUGGGAAAUGAAGCUUGUUGGUAAGGAGGCUGAUGGAGACCUUUAUGACAUUGUUUUAGCUAUCUGUGCAUCUCAAAAGGAGGCCAGCGCCGUAGCACGGUUGCUCACUAGAAUAGAGGUUGCAAGCUCUAUGCGCAAGAAGAAAUCAUUGUCAUGGUUGUUGAGAGGUUACAUUAAAGGUGGACACUAUGGUGAGGCUGCAGAAACACUAAUUAAGAUGCUUGAUUUGGGUUUGUCUCCAGAUUAUUUAGACAGAGUAGCGGUGAUGCAGGGUCUGAGAAAAAGGAUCCAACAAUGGGGAAAUGUUGAAUCUUAUCUUAAGCUUUGCAAGCGCCUCUCUGAUGUGAAUUUGAUUGGACCUUCUCUUGUAUAUCUGUAUAUAAAGAAAUAUAAGCUUUGGAUCAUGAAAUUGCUUUGAGUGACCCCUCGAGUGGAAUGAGGCCUCAAGAGGCUUUUGAAUCUGGGUUUGUGAUUGUGAUGAAAGCAAGGUUUAUAGAGUCUAGAAUUCACAACACCACCAUUAUUAUAAAUACCUUCGAAUGAGAAGAUUGUGUACAUUGAUUGGGAUGGCUUCACGGAGGUGCAAGAAUAUGGGUAGAGAGUCUAUGAUGCCAAAGCGGAUUUUGUCUCCACUAUUUUGUUCUCUAGGUCCUGUAGCUGUUUGUGUAUGUAAUAGAUGCUGUAAACAUAAUAAAGAACAUUCAACACAAUGUAACCAAGCUGCGUAUAUAUCUUACAGUAGCCGUACAUGCAUAUUGUAUCAUGGCAAAAAUAGGAUUCAGUGAAGACUACUUGGAAUGAUGAAGUAUGCUUUUACUUCAAUUAUGUUUGGUUGCAUCUUUAUAAAUUAUCAAAUGUGAUCUCGGUGAUGAGUUAUGAUCA